AGAAACGGUUGUAGUCACAAAGUAAUUGACAGAAUAAAAUGUAAAUUUCAGCAUAUUUUUUCACACAAAAAUGUGUUAGUGCGUAGAAAUGUGAUCAGGCUGAGCACACGGUCUUAUGGAUUUCAUAAUUUUCGGCGCUUAACGUGAAAACAGUUAAAGCACAGGAUUCACAAACAUUAAAUUUAUGCUUAAAUCUAUAUGCGAUACAUUAUGCAAAAUCUAUAUGCGAUACAUUAUGCAAAAUCUAUAUGCGAUACAUUAUACAUAUAAUUAUAAUUCACGAUAAUACCACAUAUGGAAGUAACUGGAAUAAAUUUGGACUAUUUCCUUCGGAAGUUUACAUGACUAUCCUGUCAAAAGGCCUCCCUCGUGUUUACAUAUUUUGACAGGUCUAGUUGUUCUGGGACUAGGAACAAUGAUGAAUGAAUACCUGCACCAUGGAAACAGUGUCAUUUGCAAACUUUUUGAACCUGUGCUGGGCGUUCACAUUGACAUUUCUUGUUCAACAGGAAUACAUGAUGUCGACCAACAGUACAGCUAGAUGAAGAUAUAAAUUUAUUAAAAAAAAUAAUGGGACAAUGAAUGCUAAAAUUGCCAAGAAGAAGACUGCCAAUUUACACACCAUUUUAUACAGUUACAGUAUGAUAUGGUGAACAAAAAGUCCUCAAUGCAGCCAGUUCUGGAGCUUUGGUUAGACUAUGAACAGUAGACAUCAAAAGAUGAUCAUCUGAAGGGCCACAAUUGUUUAAAGCACUGGUCAACAAAAACUGAACUAUUUGAUGGAUCAUACAUGUGCAGAAUGUACUACCAUAUUUCCAGAAUCAGAGAAAUAGAAAUAUCAAGUAUUAGAGAGAAAGAAAUGUAUGCAUCAUGUAUGAAGAACUGCCUAAGAAUAAUUUGCAAAAUACAUUGAAAUCUAACAAUUGCUAAUUGCAUAAUGCAUAUGGAAGUUAAGAAAGGUGUACUCUUCUGGAAAAUAUGUGUCCAGUGCAACAUUUCUUUUUCAAUUUUGUGAGUAUAAUUCUACAUAAAAAUUGUAACAUGGCUACAGGGAUAAUACAAAAGGUUUAAUCUUAUUUCCAAACACAUUGGGGGAAUCAGAGAAGAAAUAUCAAGAAUUAGGGGAAAAGAAAUAAUUGUCAUGAAUGAAAAACUUGCUUUUUAUUAAUUUACAAAAUACUUUUUAGCCUCACAACUGUUAAUAAUAUUAUGAAUAUGGAAGUUAAAAGUGUGGACUUUGAUUAAUCUUCAACUUCUCUGAGCAUAGUUCUACAUAAAAAUUGUAACUUUAUAAAAUAGUCUUGUAGAAAAAGUGUAAGACUUUCAUACUUGUUUUAUAGAAAAUGUUUCUGGAUGUUUCAAUGUAAGUUUGCUAGACCCAGACCACUAGCUCCUAAGUCAAGGUUACACUUAGAUGUCAAAGGUUAAAAGGGUCUGUUUCUGUCUGGUCAAUAACUGCCAUACA